rnacentral:rRNA from 1 species
GAUGAACGCUAGCGGCAGGCCUAACACAUGCAAGUCGAGGGGCAGCACGUCUUCGGAUGGUGGCGACCGGCGCACGGGUGCGUAACGCGUAUGCAACCUACCUCUUACAGUGGGAUAGCCCAGAGAAAUUUGGAUUAAUACCGCAUAGUAUACAGAUUCAGCAUUGGGACUGUAUUAAACAUUUAUGGGUAAGAGAUGGGCAUGCGUUCUAUUAGUUAGUUGGAGUGGUAACGGCACCCCAAGACAGCGAUAGAUAGGGCCCGUCGAGAGGGGGAGGUCCCCCACCACUGGUACGUGAGACACGGACC